rnacentral:rRNA from 1 species
GACGAACGCUGGCGGCGUGCUUAACACAUGCCAGUCGAACGGAAAGGCCCUGCUUUUGUGGGGUGCUCGAGUGGCGAACGGGUGAGUAACACGUGAGUAACCUGCCCUUGACUUUGGGAUAACUUCAGGAAACUGGGGCUAAUACCGGAUAGGAGCUCCUGCUGCAUGGUGGGGGUUGGAAAGUUUCGGCGGUUGGGGAUGGACUCGCGGCUUAUCAGCUUGUUGGUGGGGUAGUGGCUUACCAAGGCUUUGACGGGUAGCCGGCCUGAGAGGGUGACCGGCCACAUUGGGACUGAGAUACGGCCCAGACUCCUACGGGAGGCAGUAGUGGGGAAUAUUGCACAAUGGGCGGAAGCCUGAUGCAGCAACGCCGCGUGCGGGAUGACGGCCUUCGGGUUGUAAACCGCUUUCGCCUGUGACGAAGCGUGAGUGACGGUAAUGGGUAAAGAAGCACCGGCUAACUACGUG